UAUGCUUCGAGUACACUGAUUCCUCAAUUGCUCCCACGGGAGGUGUCCGUGAGUUUCCUGCGUGAAGGGCACAGAACACUCUGGAGGAGGCAGGGGGAUAUUUUUUUUUCAUAAGACCUGCCUGUGAUGUUUCUCUGCCGUGAAUCAUGUCUAUAUCCUCACAAAGGAUAAAAACCAAAGCCACUAGAGCAGAGUCUUUGGAUUUUUCUGAAUAUGGAAAGCAGCC
rnacentral:lncRNA from 1 species